UACGUAGGGGGCAAGCGUUGUCCGGAAUUAUUGGGCGUAAAGAGCGCGUAGGCGGUCCGGUAAGUCAGCUGUGAAAGUCAAGGGCUCAACCCUUGAAAGCCGGCUGAUACUGCCGGACUAGAGUCCGGAAGAGGCGAGUGGAAUUCCCGGUGUAGCGGUGAAAUGCGUAGAUAUCGAGAGGAACACCUGCGGCGAAGGCGGGUUGCUGGGCUGACACUGACGCUGAUGCGCGAAAGCCAGGGGAGCGAACGGG
rnacentral:rRNA from 1 species